CAGGGAAGUUGAGAGGAAAAUUG
rnacentral:miRNA from 1 species